rnacentral:rRNA from 1 species
GAUGAACGCUGGCGGCGUGCCUAAUACAUGCAAGUCGAACGAACAGACCAGGAGCUUGCUCCUCUGACGUUAGCGGCGGACGGGUGAGUAACACGUGGAUAACCUACCUAUAAGACUGGGAUAACAUCGGGAAACGGGAGCUAAUACCGGAUAAUUUAUCGAACCGCAUGGUUCAAUAGUGAAAAAAGGUUUUGGUUUCAGUUAAAGAUUGAUCCGGGCCGCAUUAGCUAGUUGGUGAGGUAACGGCGUACCCAGGCAAGGAUGCGUAGCCGACCUGAGAGGGUGAUCGGCCACACUGGAACUGAGACACGGUCCAGACUCCUACGGGAGGCAGCAGUAGGGAAUCUUCCGCAAUGGGCGAAAGCCUGACGGAGCAACGCCGCGUGAGUGAUGAAGGUCUUCGGAUCGUAAAACUCUGUUAUUAGGGAAGAACAAAUGUGUAAGUAACUAUGCACGUCUUGACGGUACCUAAUCAGAAAGCCACGGCUAACUACGUG